AUAUUACUAAGCGGAGGAAAAGAAACUAACAAGGAUUCCCUGAGUAAUGGCGAAUGAAAUGGGAAAAGCUCAAACUUUAAAUCUAACUAGAGAAAUCUAGUUCGAGUUGUAGUUUUGGGAGUCUAUGUCUAGGCUUCGUUCUCUUGGGGUAAAAGUCUCUUGGAAAAGAGCAUCAAAGAGGGUGAUAAUCCCGUAUUUGACCUCAAUAGACUAAAUUACAUUUAGGUUUGGUCAUUAGUAAUAGCCGCAAGGUUAUUGUUAGUGAUUUGGAUUUAAGUGGAAUUUAGUAUUGUGAACGGAGUCAACAAUGUCAUAGACUCAUAGAGUCGGGUUGUUUGAGAAUGCAGCCUAAAGUGGGUGGUAAAUUCCAUCUAAAGCUAAAUACAGACGAGAGACCGAUAGCGAACAAGUACCGUGAGGGAAAGAUGAAAAGAACUUUGAAAAGAGAGUUAAAAGUGCUUGAAAUUGUUAAGAGGGAAGCGAUUGAGUUCAGUAUCUCACAGGGAGAGGAAUCAAUUCGGAUCCAUCGAAAUAUAAUUGGGAAGCUAGUUGAGUUUCCUUGUUUAAGGCCCAGCUCUUCACGGGGUUGAAGUCUUGGGCAAGGAGCUUGGCGGUUGGUCUCAAUUUAUGAAAUGAAUUCGAGUGCACUUCCUCUUUCAAAAGUGGGUCAAUAUGAUUUCAUAAAAUGGUAAAAGUUCAAGAGUUAAGGUGACCUUAUUCGA
rnacentral:rRNA from 1 species